UCCCUUCUCCAUCCUCCUGACUGACAGCUGAGGAGCCGAGAGAGGGGAAGAGGCGCCACCAUUUCUCUCUCUCUCUGCCAGGUGACAAAUUUGCUGGAUGGAUCUCGCACUUCCCAGGGUGAGUGGUGUUUCCAAAUCCAACGACCAGGGAAGAGCUUUCUGUGUCAGGCCAGUGGCCCAUUGAGGCCAGCAUCCUGCUCUCACUGUGGCCCAAAUGACCCAAACAGGCGGCUCCUGCAAGCAGCUCCCAAGGGCAGCAGCGACUCUCCUCUGGUGCCGUUUCCAGCAACUGGCACUCAGAAGCAUAGCUGCCUCCAACUAUGGAGGCAAAGGUAUAGCAAUAAUAAUAAUAAUAAUAAUAAUAAUAUAUUAUUUGUACCCCUCCCAUCUGGCUGGGUUUCCCCAGCCACUCUGGGCGGCUUCCAACAAAGAUUUAAAAUACAUCAAAAUGUCACACAUUAAAAGCUUCCCUGAACAGGGCUGCCUUCAGAUGUCUUCUAAAAGUCUGGUAGUUGUUUAUUUCCUUGACAUCUGGUGGGAGGGCAUUCCACAGGGCGGGUGCCACCACAGAGAAGGCCCUCUGCCUGGUUCCCUGUAGCUUUGCUUCUCGCAGGGAGGGAACCGCCAGAAGGCCCUUGGCUAAUAGCCCCCAGUAGCCCUCCCUUCAACAAGUUUGCCCACUUCUCUUUCAAAGCUACCCAAGCUGGUGGCCACCCCUGCCUCAUGCCUCCUGCAGGAGCAAGUUCCAUAGGUUAACCCCAUGCCAAGUGAAGAAGGACUUAGAAUCAUAAAGCUGCAGAGCUGGAGGAGACCCCCGAUGGUCAUCUAGUCCAACCCCAUGCGGUGCAGGUCUUUGGGUAUGCUGCCCCAGUCACCACGUUCUCCCUUUGUUUCUUUUUCAGCCCAGACAUGUGACCUCCCCUGCUGGUUCUUCCACCACCUGCUCCAGCCUCCACCCUACCUUUGAGUUCACCUGGUCCUGUGCCCAGGAGUAGUAUUUUGGGCGUUACCUAUGGCUCACAGACACCCUCCGCAAUGCUCCUGCCAGCAUCCGAGUGUCCCAUACCGCCCGCGAGCACCGUAUCCCAGCUACCCUCCAGGACCGUAUUUGAGAUCUUGCCCGUCCUGCCCGAGGUGCAAUGCGUAUGGCUACAGAGGCUACCCACCUGGGCCUGCGUACCCACAGCACAGGGGUGAAGACUGCUUCACCUGCUGCCUGAAAGCUUGUGCUGCCAUCUUUUGCUGCUGCUGCGUUAUAGACAUGGUAACUUACGACUGCGACUGCAACUACGGCUGAGCACCCCAAGACCCUCUCAAUGCCUCUGGCAUGGAUUGCUGUGUAGCCUCUUCUUCUUCCUCUCCGCCUCCUCCACAGCUUCCAAGCACUGCAAUAAAUGCUGUGACCUGCGCAGGCAACAGGGACGCAAGUCUGCCGCAGAGAUGGCACCAUGGUUUCUUUCUUUGUUUUGUUUAAAGCAUUUGCCACCAAAGCUCCCAGUGUUUUAAAAAGAAUGGUGUGGAUCGUGUCCUGCUAAAUCUUCUGGGUCUGGAAGCAGCUGUCAGGGCUGGAGUCAGAUGCAGGCCAGCACGGAAAGCAUCAGGCUUUGUUGUCGGUGAAGUUAAUUCUUUAUUCAAGUAAACGGCAUACAACUCAGCAACCCUCCCCAUUAGUCCUUGCCCCAUGGAGCCGUUGCCAGGACUGAAGGUCCCUGCUCUCCACCCUCUCUAAGGCUUCUCCUCUCCCAGAUGUUUCCCAAGCAGUCUGCGCACCUCUGGCCUCUCUUUUGCCCUCCUCAUUAUUCUGAGCUUUCUAGGAGACCAGGGCACAGGGGAGCUUGUCACACCAAGAAGGGGAGACUCCCUUGCUUCUUCAGCAGCCUCUUGACCCCUCCCUCCUCUGCGUCAGCCUCAGAGUCUGAACUGCUCCCUGUCGCAGACUCCUCCUGCUCACUACACCCUGUUGCUCCUUCAGCAUCCAGCAUCUUCUCCCAAUCCACUCCCUCUGACCUCUCCUUGGUGUCCCACCACCAAUUGCCUGGCUCUGAGCCUUCCUCCUCGGGGGGUUCCCACCACUUGUCUGUGUCCAGCCAGUUCCUGACAGCAGCCUUCAUUUCUUUCUUGACCCAUCUCUUUGUAGAACAGCCUCCAGGUGUCUCUGACUGCAAAGCUCCUCUCUGUUCCACUAGCCCCAGCCAGUAGAGACGGGGGGAAAUGCAAUUCAGUUUGCAGUUCAAGGCAGGCCUACCAAAUCCACACUUCCUGCACCAAUGCAUGAACUGAAACCCAGCUCUCCUUUAAAAUCCACACUUCUCUUGGCGCUCUUCUGCCCCGUGCUCCUCUGCCUUGGCCAGAGGCUCUUAUGCAAAAUUAAAUGCAUAUAUAUUCCUGCGAGUAACAGUACAAGUUUGGCAGCAAACACAGAGUUCAGGAGCCACAGUUCAGGAAUCAGACAAGACAUUCGAGACUGGAGGGAAGUAGCGAAGAUGUCCCAACAGUUUCUGCACCCUGCCCACCAAGCUUUGAAAGAUGAGGUGCGACACUCUCACUCCUGAGGCUCGCUCGCUUUGAGAGAAUGUCAGAAUUGCAAGCAAGUGCUCCUCCAGGAUGUGCCGGUCUGCUCCCAAUUCUUCAUCCUACUGUUAGGACCCUGAUCAAGCGCAGACUUGAUUUGCAUGGCUAUUUGGCUGCUCACCCCACAGCCUCCCCUCCCCUGAAAUGCUCUGUUCUGUCAGGAGGUUGUGGGCAGAACUGAACCCCAGAAGAAUAGAAUAGUUGGAAGGGUCUCCAUGGGUCACCUCGUCCCAUGCCAUUCAAAGUGGUGGUCUGCGGACCAGCAGCAGUCUGCAAACCUUCAGCUGCUAGACCCUGACAUCUCUACCACAUCCCAGGUUGCAUGGAAGAAGAAGAAGAGUUUGGAUUUGAUAUCCCGCUUUAUCACUACCCUAAGGAGUCUCAAAGCGGCUAACAUUCUCCUUUCCCUUCCACCCCCACAACAAACACUCUGUGAGGCUGAGAGACUAGUCCAAGGACCAGAAGUGUGACUAGCCCAAGGUCACCCAGCAGCUGCAGGUGGAGGAGCGAAGACGGGAACCCCUUUCACCAGAUUACGAGUCUACCGCUCUUAACCACUACACCACACUGGCUCUCAUCACACUGGAACACAUCAGGGACCAAAUAUAGUACACCGGGGUGGGUGGGAAUUACUUGUCCAUCACAUAAGCAUUUCUGUAGUCCAAACCCCUGCAGUGCAGGAAUCACCGCUGAAGAGUCCCUGGCAGGCGGCCACCCAACCUCCAAUGAGGGAGAGUCCACCAGCCUCCAAGGGAGUCCCUUCCACUGUCAAGCAGCUGUUACCAUCAGGAAUUUCUUCCUAAUGU